rnacentral:rRNA from 1 species
UAGGGAAUCUUCCGCAAUGGACGCAAGUCUGACGGAGCAACGCCGCGUGAGUGAAGAAGGUUUUCGGAUCGUAAAACUCUGUUGUUAGAGAAGAACAAGUGCUAGAGUAACUGUUAGCGCCUUGACGGUAUCUAACCAGAAAGCCACGGCUAACUACGUGCCAGCAGCCGCGGUAAUACGUAGGUGGCAAGCGUUGUCCGGAUUUAUUGGGCGUAAAGCGAGCGCAGGCGGUUCCUUAAGUCUGAUGUGAAAGCCCCCGGCUCAACCGGGGAGGGUCAUUGGAAACUGGGGAACUUGAGUGCAGAAGAGGAGAGUGGAAUUCCAUGUGUAGCGGUGAAAUGCGUAGAUAUAUGGAGGAACACCAGUGGCGAAGGCGACUCUCUGGUCUGUAACUGACGCUGAGGCUCGAAAGCGUUGGUAGCAAACAGGAUUAGAUACCCUGGUA